AGUGAACGCUGGCGGUAGGCCUAACACAUGCAAGUCGAACGGCAGCACAGUAAGAGCUUGUUCUUACGGGUGGCGAGUGGCGGGCGGGUGAGGAAUACAUCGGAAUCUACUUUUUCGUGGGGGAUAACGUAGGGAAACUUACGCUAAUACCGCAUACGACCUACGGGUGAAAGCAGGGGAUCUUCGGACCUUGCGCGAUUGAAUGAGCCGAUGUCGGAUUAGCUAGUUGGCGGGGUAAAGGCCCACCAAGGCGACGAUCCGUAGCUGGUCUGAGAGGAUGAUCAGCCACACUGGAACUGAGACACGGUCCAGACUCCUACGGGAGGCAGCAGUGGGGAAUAUUGGACAAUGGGCGCAAGCCUGAUCCAGCCAUGCCGCGUGUGUGAAGAAGGCCUUCGGGUUGUAAAGCCCUUUUGUUGGGGAAGAAAAGCAGCAGGUUAAUACCCCGCUGUUCUGACGGUACCCAAAGAAUAAGCACCGGCUAACUUCGUG
rnacentral:rRNA from 1 species